rnacentral:rRNA from 1 species
UAGGGAAUCUUCCGCAAUGGGCGAAAGCCUGACGGAGCAACGCCGCGUGAGUGAUGAAGGUCUUCGGAUCGUAAAACUCUGUUAUUAGGGAAGAACAAAUGUGUAAGUAACUAUGCACGUCUUGACGGUACCUAAUCAGAAAGCCACGGCUAACUACGUGCCAGCAGCCGCGGUAAUACGUAGGUGGCAAGCGUUAUCCGGAAUUAUUGGGCGUAAAGCGCGCGUAGGCGGUUUGUUAAGUCUGAUGUGAAAGCCCACGGCUCAACCGUGGAGGGUCAUUGGAAACUGGAAAACUCGAGUGCAGAAGAGGAAAGUGGAAUUCCAUGUGUAGCGGUGAAAUGCGCAGAGUUAUGGAGGAACACCAGUGGCGAAGGCGACUUUCUGGUCUGUAACUGACGCUGAUGUGCGAAAGCGUGGGGAUCAAACAGG